GAAAGUUGAACCAGUCGCAGUGAUAGCAAGUGCUCGUAGGAGGAUCUAGCCUCGUCAUCUUUGUGGUUGUUGUUGGAAUCAUUCUCAUCAAGAGAUGGAAAACUGAAUCCGUUCCAGCGACAUCUGGUGAUCAUGCUUCUGCAGGGGGUAUGCCGGUGUACGCUGAUCUGGCCACCAUAUACGCCCAGACCAUUGGCCCUUCUAAUCCGAGAGAACAUUACAAUGUGCCCACCAAGCAACCACCACCGCUCCCUCCACCAAGAAAGAUCGAUGAGAUUUCCAAGGGGUACGUGCCAAUGAAGCCUAUCACAGUGCACUCCGAGGCACCGCAAACUUCUGAUGAGGAAGCUAACGCCGAAGGGGUAUACAUGUGAAGAAAGGUAACUAUGUUAACCACGACGUCGAGGCUUCUUGUUAACUGGGGGAAAUUUUAAACAUAGAUCUUCGACAAAGCAAAGGAGGAAAAUAAGCUUAACUAUAUGUGAAAAGAAAAUACUGUUCUAUCUUUUGACCGGUAAAUGUGUAAAUUGGUCAAAUUGAUUUUGAAAUGAAGGAGUUGGGAUCUUUUUUCUGCUGUAGUUCUGGCCUAAAGCAAUGUAUCGUCAAUGAUUGACACCUUUAAAACUCGUUUACGCUGAAAUUUAUUCUUGAUGUACGUGAUAGAUUAAGAGCUGGUAAUAUCGAUACUAACAUUGUUCGUCUUGAUAUUAAAGUCGAAGCUUGUAUAAUACGUUCAACGAGCCAGAAACAAAAUAUAUAGAACAACGCCUGACGUUUUACCAUUGGCAUUAUACAUGGGUCGCAAUUGUAACCACUGGCAUAUGUUUGAAAAUAAAAUUUCAAAUUUAUGCAUGGAUUAAUAAACACUGAGCUGUAAAAUACACAUCGACAAAAAGGAUUCAAAAUAAGACUGUAUUACGAUUUACUCUAAUAUAUCCGAAUAAAACAGAUUUUAGAAGUUGAUUGUCUAAGGUACAUCUAUGUUGGUAAAUGAAUUUAACCAGGAAAAGGAAUGCUGGAACUACAUUGUAUAAGGUAAUCCAGUAACUAUUACUUAUACAUUAUAAAUGGGUCGCUAUUGUAACCACUGGCAUAGGUUUGAAAAUUGAAAUUUCAAAUGUAUGCAUGGAUUAACGUUGGGCAGCGUUCGUGGUCUCCAGGGAGGUGAUCAAAGUCGGGAAUUUGUUAAUUAAAAAGAAGUCCAAAUGCCAUCACCUUCCAUUAUAUCUUACCUCUGUUCAAGCUGAAAAACCUGGUCUUAAUCACUUUCAAGUCAGGGCCUUUCCUAGCCAGAAAAGAAGGGAAAAAAUCAAGCCGGCUCCCUAGCCAAUUUCCGUAGGACUCUGUGUUAAGUGUUCCCAUGUGUUCAUAUAAGGCAUUAUUUACAAAGUCGGUGCCUGGGCAAGGCAGUGGAAUGUUUUUUUUCUUUCAGUGACAGCUGUGAGGAACUUGUCAGAGGCCUGUUUCGGCUGUCUUUUAAGUGUUGUUUAAGGGAGGGUGUGUUGUGGCUUGGCCAGCACGUGGCAAGGACCCCCUCAAAACGGGAUCGCCUGGGAAUGAAUGCUGGAACUACAUUGUAUGAGGUUCUCCAGAAAAUAUUGCUGUUAUGGUACACAAUUACUACUAUUUCAUUAUAAAUGGGUCGCUAUUGUAACCGCUCGCAUAGGAUUGAAAAUUAAAUUUCACAUUUAUGCAUGGAUUAAUAAACACUGAGCUGUAAAGUACACAUCGACAAAAAGGAUUCAAAAUAAGACUGUACUAAGAUUUAUUCUAAUAUAUCCGAAAAAAAUAGAUUUUAGAAUUGGAUUGUAUAAUUAUAAGGUACAUGUAUGUUGGUAAUGACUUUAAUUAACCAGAAAUAAAUGCUAGAACUGCAUUGUAUGAGGUUUCCAUAAACUAUUACUAAUACUACAAUACUAUUUACUAUUACUAAUAUUAAUUACUAAUAAUAAUUGAAUUGUAUCGUUUUUUGUUUUAUACAAACUAUUAUAUCAAAGAAAUGGACUUUGGAAUUAAAUUUAUAAGAUGCAAGCUGCUCUAUCCUAGAACAUUCUGGAAUUGGACUGUAUCCAGUUUAUCUUUAAACUUUUAUAUACAAGAAAAGAAUACAUUACGUAGAUCAAACAUCAAGUUUGUCUUGAAGUUGUUCUAAAAAAUAGAUUGAUCCACUGAAUGGA